rnacentral:rRNA from 1 species
UAGCAUAUCAAUAAGCGGAGGAAAAGAAACCACAGGGAUUGCCUCAGUAACGGCGAGUGAAGCGGCAACAGCUCAAAUUUGAAAUCUGGCCCUAGGCCCGAGUUGUAAUUUGCAGAGGAUGCUUUUGGCGAGGUGCCUUCCGAGUUCCCUGGAACGGGACGCCAUAGAGGGUGAGAGCCCCGUCUGGUCGGACACCGAGCCUCUGUAAAGCUCCUUUCGACGAGUCGAGUAGUUUGGGAAUGCUGCUCUAAAUGGGAGGUAUAUGUCUUCUAAAGCUAAAUACCGGCCAGAGACCGAUAGCGCACAAGUAGAGUGAUCGAAAGAUGAAAAGCACUUUGAAAAGAGAGUUAAAUAGCACGUGAAAUUGUUGAAAGGGAAGCGUUUAUGACCAGACUUGGCCCGGUUGAUCAUCCAGCGUUCUCGCUGGUGCACUCUGCCGGUCCAGGCCAGCAUCAGUUCGUCGCGGGGGAUAAAGGUUUCGGGAAUGUGGCUCCUCCGGGAGUGUUAUAGCCCGUUGCGUAAUACCCUGCGGUGGACUGAGGUCCGCGCUUCUGCAAGGAUGCUGGCGUAAUGGUCAUCAACGACCCGUCUUGAAACACGGACCAAGGAGUCGUCUUCGUAUGCGAGUGUUCGGGUGUAAAACCCCUACGCGUAAUGAAAGUGAACGCAGGUGAGAGCUUCGGCGCAUCAUCGACCGAUCCUGAUGUUCUCGGAUGGAUUUGAGUAAGAGCAUACGGGGCCGGACCCGAAAGAAGGUGAACUAUGCCUGUAUAGGGUGAAGCCAGAGGAAACUCUGGUGGAGGCUCGCAGCGGUUCUGACGUGCAAAUCGAUCGUCAAAUAUGGGCAUGGGGGCGAAAGACUAAUCGAACCUUUCUAGUAGCUGGUUUCCGCCGAAGU